rnacentral:lncRNA from 1 species
UUGCUUCGAAUUGGACCAGUCAUGAACUCGGAUAAAUUUCGGUAGGGUAAAAUGAAAUUUAGACUAUCAUCAAUCGAUUUCUCUCAUCAAGAGCAAUCGAUUAAUGAAGGUCUUGGGUUAAAAUGACCCGAAAUUAAACAAAAAUUGUAGGCGGAAUAAAUUAUGGUUUUGAUCUUAGAUCCGAGAUUUGAGAAUUCCUAGGCUUGUUUGAAGGGAAUGGUUAUGGGAUAUGGAAAGAGGAAGAGAGGGUGAUUGUCUGGUGUUAAUUUGGUGUAUUUUAGAGCAAUUAGGGUUUUUUACCUUGAAUCGAAUUCCUGGCGGCGAUUUGAAAGAAACGGAUUUGAGAUUUAGCAUUAGGAGGAAUGGGGGUUUCAGGGUGUAAAUAUAGGGGAGAUUGGUGGUGGUCUGAUGCCGUGAGGUGAUUUAAUUUUCGGCCGGCGGACUACAGCGGAGAAGGACGGAGCCGGAAAGGUAUCUUAGGGCGGAUAGGGUUCGUAGAUUGAGAGAGAUGAUAGACUAAAUGAGGGGGUAAUGGGUUCGGGGGUAUGAAUUUGGGGGAGGUUGGUGGUGGUCCGCCGCCUUGAGGCGAUUUCCGGUCGGCGGACCGUGGCAGAGGAAGGCAGAGUUGGCGAGGUAUUUUAGGGCGGCUACGAUUCGAAAGUUGAGAGAGAUGAAAAAUUGAAUAGGGGGUAAGGGGGUUAGGGGUCUUGUUCGGACAGUUAAAUAUUAAUGGGGUAGUUAGUUCCGGGCCAUUUAAUUAGCAAGAUCCAAUGGCUAUGAUGAAAAUCAAAUGAAACGGGGUCGUUUGGGUUAGUAUAGAGACUGAACCGGGUAGGCAAAAAUUGGGCUUGGGUCAAGGGAAGCUUUUGGACGGGUUUUGUAUUAAAUUGGCACAAUUUCAAAAUAAAAACCUCCUUGUUCAGUUACGUCUUUUAUUCAUUUUUCUUUUCUUUUUUCCCCCCUCUCUCUCUCUUCUUUUUAUAUUUAAAAUUUCUAAGUUAAUCUAAAUUGUAAAACUAACCAAUUAUAUAAUUAUAAAAAAUAUUUAAUCCUAAGUUAAAAGAGAAAAAUUAAUAAUCUAAAAGGUAAAAUGUAAAAUGGGCUAUUUUUGUGAUUUUCAUUUUAUUUAAACAAAUAAUUAACCAAUUAUGCCUAAAAAUAUAAAAACAAAACCUAAAUGCAAUCCAUGAUAUUUUUUUUUUAUAUUUUUCAUGAUUUUAGUAAGAAUUAAACGUGCACAAUGCAACCAAUUAAUAAAAUUCUACAAAAAUUUCUAAAAAUGACAAAUAAUUAAGGAAAAUCUAUUUUCUUGAGUUUUUAUAGGAGUAUUCGCAAAGGGCAAAAAUCACAUCAUCACAGACAUGUAUACUACUACUCCCUUCAGAAAAGGGCCUUCCACACGAGGACACUGGCUGAUCCCACCGACAUAUUUUAACCCAUGGUUGAAGAAUGAGGCGAUCAAGAAAAUCAUGGGCCUCGUAGUACAUGCAUAAAAUAGCUCUGUGGAGCUUUUCGGAUCUAAAACUUGUUCUAUGUCAGAACCGAUCUCAAAACCCUAAUAUCAGCCUCUGAUCAGAUGCGAGGAAUUAAGUGGUGAAAAUCCAAGCCCUAUAUGCACUAUGUCUAAUUAUUUUAAGCUUAGAAGUUGAUAUGAAGUAAUUAAAAACGAUUAUUUUGAGAUCGACAUUCCUUUCCUAGACUUGUUAUAAAACAGAGAUUAGGUAAUAAAAAUUACGUAAAAGAAGUAGACUUUUUACAUUUUUUUAUCAUGUCGAGCGCGGUGAAAUUACUCCAGUUUGAUAAACUAAAAGGACAGGCUGGUGCACAAAGCAUCUCGGAUUCACGCAGAGACCGGGGAAGAACCGCACCCUGAAAGGUGUGAUGUAGACAGUUUACUCUAAUGUAAGCAUUAGUGAUCGAUUUCUCGGUUCGAACCUAUAACCUAUAAUUCACAUGAAGACAGCUUGACCGUUACUCCAAAGCUCCCCUACAAGUAAAUUUCGUUGCCGGAACCAAACGUGAGAGCCGAGUACCCUAACCGACUAGACUACAACGGAUUGUUCCAUUUUGAGAAAUUGUACUCGUAAAAUGUUCGUCUAUUAGUUGUUCCAAACAUGGGUGUGUGGUUUUAUUUUAAGGUCUUCUUUUUAUUCUUUAUUAAAUUAGAUAUAGCAUAUUCUUGUGACAACCACAACCUUUCGGCGAUAAGGAAUUAAGGAGAUUAAAAAGAAAAUAAAAGAAAAAAAUUAGAAAAAGAAAAAGGGAGGGCUAACUCAUUGGGGACAUCCAGUAAAGUAAUCAUUUAUUGAGCAACGGCUACCCACUUUAUUUGAUGAAUGGAACAAAAAUCUGAAUACUAUAAAACAAAAAAAAAUGUAUGCAAAAAGAGAAAGUGAAAGUGGAAUCAAAAUAAUGAUAGAAGAUGAGUUGUACAUCCCUACAUUCAUUUCUGCUGUCCAAAUUAAUAAGAUUGACGAGUAAACAACUUUUUUUAAAAUGUAAACUAAUUUUAAAAUAAAUCAUACAUUACUGUACGUAGCUUUAGUGACAACAAAGCUCGUGACAAAAAUCAUUCGCUGAAAAUUAAGUUCCCUUUUUUCACCAACUCGCUUUGCCGAGAGUUUUUUGUUUAGCUAUUUGGUGUUUGAAAUUUACUAUCCUACUAUUUCAUAUUUGUAUUGCAUAUGAUUCGUUAAAAAGAUUACUGCCAAGAAUUUCUUUUUCAAAACUUAAAUCCAAGAACUCUAAUAAAAAGUGGAAAAUAAAAUCAUAUCGCACCUCUUAAUGAUGCUUUUGUACUAUAUAUGAUUCAUUAAAGAAAAUUAUUUCAAGAAUUUCUUUCUUAAAAUUAUGUUAAGCUGAAAGUCUAUUGGAAAUAACUUCUCUACCUUCUAGAUUGAGAUAAGAUUGCGUACACAUUCCUUUUUUAAUAUUAUUCUUUCUCAAAAGUCGAACUAGGUAAGAAUGAAAAAAUAUUCUUUCAUUUCAUCACACCUUUUGGAGGUGCUUUUGCCCUAGAGUUGAAAGUUUCAAUAGUUUGGGUUGGUUUUCUAAAAUUUCUUUCGUAGGGGAGCUUUGCGUCUUUAUACUUUGAUGACUUUUCAACAAAUUGACAUCUUCAUUGUUGACCUUAUACUUGCCUUCAAAUAAUUUAGAUCAAAAGGAACAUACCAUAUAUGAUUUGUUAGUUUCACCAAAAGCAUUGGUAGAUAAUCAAAGACAUUUGUAUACUUCUCUGGAGAGUUUACUUGUUCUCUUACUACUUAUAUAAUAUUAUCUGAGAUGUUUUGACGUCAUUUGUUAAAUUUAUCUGAUGAAAAUCAAUUUGGGAUGACAAAAUUUUCAAAAUGACAUAAUGUGGACCUUGAACACUUAAUUAGAAAACAAAUAAAAAGUUCGAAAACUUUUUUUUAAUCCUUAAAUUAUUUCUGAAUAUUUUCUGAAACAAAAUUAAUUAACCAUCUUAUGACUUGUGAAUCAAAUUUGAACAAAUGCAAAGCGAUUGAACUAAUUUGAUUUCAUAUGAAAACUUUGACCAGACAGAAAGGCUUAUCAUUCAAAAAUGAGAGAAUUUUUUUUGAAGUGAAGUGGUUCCAUUUAAAAAUUUUAAAAAGAAGUCCCAAACUCACGUUGUUAUUUUAUUAAACAAGAGGAGAAAAAUGUUAAGGUAUUGCAUAGCGUACCUCAUGUUUUCGUAUUAAAUGUUUAAAUCUGAAUAUUGUUAUCUCCAAAUUUGAAUACUAAAUAAUUAAAACUAUUAUUUUCUCAGAAACUAAAUGUGAAUAUUUAUCUUUAUUUAAAAACUAACAAAAAUGGAACUCGAUGUAUGAAGUAUUCUGCGUUCACGAAGAGUCUGAGGAAGGAUCGCAUCCCAAAAACUGGUAAUGUAAGCCGCCUAUCCUCGGAGCUUUUCCCUCACCUCAUAUUAAGUAAAAUGUCUCGUCUCAUGCUCACACAUGGGAAGAAGCAACCAUUGGAAGUAAGAUUGAUAAUAACAGUAUACACAUGCUUAGAUUUUUUUUGGCACAAGUACGUAAAUUAAAAUCGUCUUUUAUUGCUAUUAAUUACGUUUUAUAGUUAUCAAAAAGUUACAUAAAGUAAAUAUAUUCAAAUAUUACAAAAAUAAUAAAUAAGACUUUUGGAAUUUAUUAUCCUAAAUAAGUCAAAAUGUCACGACCCAAAUUCACUAAGAGUCAUGAUGGCACCGUACACCAUUGUCAGGCAAGCCAACCGAAAUACUUAAUAAAAUUCUCGUUUUAAUAAUUUUUGAAAACUAUAAUUUUCCUUCAAUUUUACCAGUAAAAGAUAAUCAUUUCAAAUCAAAUAUGAAUGUUAAGAAGUUUAUACAAGAUACCUCAUAAUCAUCCUAGAACUCGUUGUUACAAGUGCAUGAGCAUUUACUAGCUAAUGAAAUAAAAUACAAUAAUUGUCUGGAAUACAAAGUGGACAGAAAUGAAAAUACAGUAAAAUACUCUGAAGGAGUCUCUAUUGGUUGUGGGUCGUCUCGAAUAAUGCAAUUCACCUAAAUCUUCGUAUCAACCAUGCCGCUAUAACACUAAGCCACUAGCCACACGUGAACAUGUGCAACAAAAAUGCACAGUAAUUGUAGUAUGAGUACGAAAACAACGUGUCUCAGUGAAUAUCCCGUCUAAUCUCGAAAAAAUAGAGGCGAGAGUUCGACUUCGACAGUUAUUAGUAGUCUAAUGAUAAUAUAGUAAAAAUGUGACAAAAUCAUGGAUUUUGUAACGCAGGAGUAAACUCAUAAAGCCGGAAAGCAGGUAAACAACUUCUCAACUAAUAAAGGAUUUUCAAAGAUUUACUUUUCAUUGUCUUUAUCUUUUUGUCUCUGGCAAGGAAAGACAAGUAUCAACAUUCAUAAUUCUCAGGCAAGUAAUAUAAACAUGUGCACUGCUGAGGGUCGAACGACGCAGACCAUAGAUGCAUCUAUUACCCGUUUCGCGAAUAAUACAUGCGACGCAAUCAAAAUAUAUAUAUCAGUCACCCCGCUUGCGAAUCAUACAUACUACACAUGUAUACAUAAAACACAUAUUCAAACAGUCAAUCAAAACUUCGUCAGGGAGACAAUUAUUUAAGGAUUGUCAAUUUCUCUUUUACAAGCCGAAAAAAUGAAGUUUAACUCUUUUAGAAAAUUAUUUACCACUCUAAUGCAAUUAAAGUAAUUUAAACUGCCAAUAAGGUUACUAUUAUUACAAGUAAAGCAUGUUUUUUUGGGUCUUAAACUAUCCUGACAUAAGCAUAACAGUAGCUACGCACGGACUCUCGUCACUUCGUGCGUACGUAGCCCCCUCAAUUAGGAGCACAUAUUCAAUUAAUUCACCUAUGGGAACAAUUCCCUCUUACAAGGUUAGAAAGGAGACCCACUUUGCUCUGAAGAUCCAUAUCGAUAUUUCACGCUCUUCCGAAGACUCGAAUCGAGAUACAAUGCUCCAAAACUAGCCAAUAAUUAUGCAAAUCUAUUAAUAUAUGCUCUAAUGCUCACAACAAUUCAAUUUUAGAUAAAUUUUUAACUCCGUUAGAAAAGUUGACAAAAUUGUCCUCAUGCCCAUGUGCACGGAUUUCGAAAAACUCACAAAAUUCGACAACUCCUUCCAAUACAAGUUCAACCAUAUCAAUUUUAUCAAAUUUCGAUAACAAUUUGACCUCCAAGUCUUGAAUUUUCCUUUUUGAAACGUUUACAAAAAUCUUGAUUUCUUCCAUUUAAAUCCUAAAUAAAUGAUGAAUAUAACCACAGAAUCAUGAAGUAUAAUUACUUCGGAUAUAGAACACUCACUUCAAUUCAUAUUGUGAAAGUUUCCUAAAAAAUCGCUUCAAUCCGAGCUCUAUAGCUCCAAAUAUGAUAAAAAUGACCGAAACCUCAAAAUAUAGAUUCUGCCCAGGUAUUUUCUCUUCGCGAUCGCAAAAAAUGUUUCGCGAUCGCAUAGAAUAAAUGCCCAACUCUUCCAGACAAUCUCUAGUAUAAUGGCCAUAACUUGUGUACAAAAUUAUAAAUUGCAAAUGGUUUAACUUUUUGAAAAUUAGACUCCAAGGAAUACAACUUUCAUGCUUUGCUCAUCUUCCAAUUCCUUAUAGAUUACAAGACAUAAGCUUCCAAAGUCAGUCUUGUGCAACACAAAUUUAUUCUUCGCGAUUUCCAAACCCUUCCCGGAUAGGAUGUAGUAUACCAUUCGUAACUUUUUGCACAUUAUUCAAAUACCAAAUAGUUUUUUUUUAAAACUAGACACAAAGGGGUGCAACUUUCGUUUUUGGAUUAUCUCCAAUUUCUUUAUAGAUUACGAGAUACAAGCUUUCAAAAUCAGGUCAGUGCAGCAGAAACUUUCUUCUAUGCGAUCGCGAAAGCCUUUCCGCGAUCGCGAAGACUGGCCAUUUUCUCACAUUUUACUCACUGCGAUCGCGACCAAUUCCCCGCGAUCCCAUAGCACACUGUUGUAGCUAAAAACCAGCAGCUAAAAAUGGUUUAGAAAUGGUCUGAAACUACCCAGAAACUCACCCAAGCCCCUUCGGGAACCCGUCCGAACAUAGCAACAAGUCUCAAAAAGUAUCACGGACUUAGUCGAGACCUCAAAUCAUAUCAAACAAAGCUAAAACCACGAAUCACACUCCAAUCCAAGCUUAAUGAACUUUAGAAUUUUAAACUUCUAUAUUCGAUGCUGAAACAUAUCAAAUCACAUUCGAGUAACCUCAAAUUUUACAUGCAAGUCAUAUUUGACAUUACAGACCUACUCCAACUUUCGGAAUCAGAAUCUGAUCCCGAUAUCAAAAAGUCCACUUCCAGUCAAACUCCUCAAAACCUUCAAAUUUUUAUCUCUAGCCAAAUAACUCCAAAAUGAUCCAUGGACCAUCGAAUUCACUUCCGAUCGCGCUCCCAAUACCAGAAUUAUCAUGCGGAGCUAUUCCUAGACUCAGAAUCCCAAACAGAUAUCGGUAAUACUGAAAUGCACCAACCCAAGCUUAUGAAAUUCUUUCAAAAAUGUCAAAUUCCACAAUAUUUGCCGAAAUAUUUCUGGGUCUUCCAAAACUUGAUCCGAACAUACGCCCAAAUCUGAAAUUAUCAUAAUAACCUGUUGCAACCUUCAAAUCCCGAUUCUAAGGACAUUUACUCAAAAAUCCAAACUUAGUCCAUUCUUUCACCUUAAAGCUUCCGAAUUAAGAAUUUUCUUUUCAAAUCAACUCCGAACUUUUCGAAGUUCAAUUCCGACCAUGCGUACAAGUCAUAAUGCCUGAAGUGAAGCUGCUCAUGGCUCAAACCAGUGAAAAACGCGUUAAAGCUUAAAACGACUGGUCGAGUCGUCACAAAAAAGGGGCCCAGAGUAUUUGUGUGGCUAUAAAAGAUUCUUAUUAAGGAUAGAAUUGUAAGUUUAAGCUAAAUUGUUACCAAAUUUAGAAAGUGGUCACUCUUUUUGAAAUGGAACAAAAAGGAAAUAUGUUCACAUAAACUGAAAUAGAGGGAGUAGUUAAUUAGAGUCAAUAUCACGUCUAUGAGCCCAUUUAGCUUAGCUGAUUUAGAGUAGCUGAUAUGCAUUAGGUGUUGAAAAGUAUUUUUAAGUGCUGAAGCUGAUUUAAAAAAUAAGCAGUACGUGUUUGGAUAAAAGUACUAAAUUAAUAAUAAGCAGCUGAAGACGUGGGUAUACGAAGAGUUUUGUUUUAAAAAGAAGUAUUUUAGUGAUAGAAUAGUAAAUAUUUUGGUCAAAUUUAAAGUGAUUAUAAGCUGAAAUUUGAUAAGUUGGGGGAGAUUAACUUAUGGCUUUUGACUUAUUUUUAGCUUAUAAGCACUUUUAAUUUUACCAAACACAUAAAUAAGCCAAAAAGUGCUUAUAAGCUAAUUUAACGCCAAACACCCUCUGUGUGUUUCUACUUCUUAGAAAAAAUGGGCUACUAAGACCAUCUCCAAGACUACUCUAUUUCUUGCACUAAAUCCAAAUUUAGUGCAAGAAAGAUUUGGUGCAAGAAAUGGUAUUGUUUUCUUCCAAUGCAACACUAAUUCUUGCACAAUAUAGAGCAUGAAUAGAUUUGGUGCAACACUAUUCAUCACUCUAAAUUUGGUUUAAUAUUAUUUUAUUCAAUCUUUUUAUUUUUUGGACUUUUAAUUUAUGAUAUAUUGUGUAUAUAAUUAAUUCUUAUAAUAAGAUCUUUAUAAUUUUAGUUUUAUAUCCUAUUUUUUUAUAUAUUAAUUUUUGUAUAUAUUAUAUUUAUAUAAAAUUAUAAGUUUAUUUUAUUAUUAUUAUUAUAAUUGUAUAAAAAGAAACAUAACCAUUAUUUAAAAAUAAAAAAUACAAAUGUAAGAUAUCUAUUGUUGCUAAGAUGCUCAUUUCGCACUUUGUAAUGCAUUAAUCGAACAUUUAUGAAAUAAUAGAGGGAAAUUUAAAUAUUUUUGUGGUACUUAAAUUAAAUUUGACUAUGAUGUAAUAUUUGUAAUAGAUAAUUAUAUAAGUGGUGAAUGUGAAUUAUAUAUAAUGAAUAUGGAAAAAAAGAUAAUAUUAGUUUGAAGAAAAUAAAAUAUAAAAAUAAAUAAAAGAGAGAGAAAAUUUAAUGUAGAAAAUAAUAUAAUAAUCUAAAUAAAUUUGGUGUUAUAUUAUUUUGGCGCAUGAUUCUAGCCUUGAGAUGGCGUAAGUCACUAACGAGCACUAAAUGCUGCGGUACAUAACAGCGCACAAAAGCCAAAACUAUAGUUGGCGGAAGCGACAAUCCUCUUAAGAAUGGGCGCGUGUUUCGGUAAUGGAUAUUAUUGUCCAUCCACUAUUACUUUACUGGAGUCAAUGUAAUUAGCGAACCAAAAUUCAAAUUUUAAUUGGCCGUAAUGCCCCACACCCACAAUAAUCUAUUCACAAUUGAAAAGGCCUGUCCUCCUCUACUACACUAAUAAGUAUUCAACACGUCGGUAACGCCUCGAAUUUUCAAAGUGAGAGACUAUUUGGAUCAGAAAUUGAAUUUUGAUAUCUAUCUAUCCAAGGCCUGUGAGAAAAAGGGAAUGGCAACAUUUGGAGGGACAACACAGAAGUGUAAGGCCUGUGAGAAAACUGUCUACUUGGUUGAUCAACUUAAGGCUGACAGUAAAGUCUAUCACAAGGCUUGUUUCAGAUGUCAUCACUGCAAGGGUACUCUCAAGGUCAUUACUUCAUUUUCUCACAAUUAUAUUUAUAAAUAUGUAUUUCCUCUUUUAUAUAUAGUGACUUUCUGAUUGCUUGAUAUCAUUUAUGGCAGUAGCAUAUAUCCUCAAACAAAAAAGGAAUUCUUUUCCUAAUGUUAUUAAAAUGUAUUUCCUGGUUUGAUUUUUGCUUGGGCGUGUUCAGAUUGAAACACUCAUGCUACUUUUUAAUUUGAUUCGAAGAUAAUCGAGAAUUAUAGUCUUGGACAAUGGAUCUCCAUUAGCUGCUAAAGAUGUGAACUGCCUUGUUGAAAGUUUUUGGGUAUUUGGCAGUACUACUUUCAUAGAUGUAAUAUGUAAACAUGCGAUUUUUGCAUUUGAAGCUGGGUAGGAUCAUCUGUUACAUAGAGAUAACAGCUUUGAUGACAUAUUGUUAUUGAUAAAGCGAUUUACAGCAGUUUCUUAUUGUCUUCAAUAUUCUACAUGAAAUAUAUCAGAACAAUACAAAAAUUGAUUGUAUUGCUAACUUAAAUAUUGUCUUCUUUUAAUCCUCAAUUAACCUCUCAUACCGGCAUUGCUUCUCCUAUUUUGUUGAUCUGUGAAUUCUGGAUCUAUUAGCUUUUUCAAAUGACAGUGCAAAGGAUAAACCAUGAAUUUGUAACUUCUGACUAGUUGUUCUAUUGCCCAAGUGCUGGCAUUUCUUUGGAUUUAUCAAAGUAAGACUAUGCUAAAUGACAAACUUUUUCCUUCACUAUUUGGUUGAUGAGUUGAGCGAUGUUUUUGCAUUCUAGUCGUGAAGUCAGAUCCUCAACUCAACAUCUACCUUUGCUAGUUAUGACAGUACAACUCUUGGUUUGUGUCGAAAUUGCAGCUCUUCCUCCAAUUUUGAAGGACAGAGCAUUUCUUUUUUCCUGACUACUUCAUUAAAUCUCUCUCUAGUUUGUGCUACUUGAUUUAGUACAACAUUAGUAAUAUUCGCCUAAUUGCCAGGUAGUCUAUUGAUUGAAAGUAUUAAAGUCUAGGUUGACUGAUAUUAUGAUGUCAAUUACUCUCUGAUGUAUCUUUAGCAUCAUUUCCUUUGCCUUUUUUAUCAAUCCAUAAAAAGACUUCUUGAUCUUAAUUUCCUUGUCCUUUUUUAACUUGUGCAGCUAAGUAACUACAACUCCUAUGAAGGAGUUUUAUACUGCAGACCUCAUUUUGAUCAACUAUUCAAAAUGACUGGAAGCCUGAACAAGAGUUUCGAAGGUAACUAGAGCUACUUAGUCGAUAUUUGUUAUAAGUAUUUUUGCAUCAGUUAUUCCUUUGAAGCUUGUUUUCAGUUGCUCGUUGUAUUGUUUGCAGUAGGGGCUCCAAGAACAGCCAGGGAAAGAUCUGCUGAUCAGGUAUUCCAUGAUUAAUUCUAAUGUCAAGAUCUCUUAUGAUCCCUUAAGCAUACACCGUUCUCUUCUCUUUACCCGCUGAUCUCACUUGUGUUGUGUUAUUGAUCAAUUCCAGGGACAAUCAAACAGCAAAGUUUCAGCUUUGUUUGGUGGAACUCAAGAUAAAUGUGUCUCCUGCAAGAAAACUGUUUACCCCCUCGAAAAAGUACUGUCAUUUUCUUUUCUGUUUAGUAGUUAGCAUUAGUGGAAAACGAUGAAUAGUAAUCACCAGAAAAUAAGAAUUUAUGAAAUGUUGAAUCGCCUAGUUGAAAGCUCCAUUUUAGCUCUUAGAUCAGCAUAUCCUUACUAUGCUCAUUGCUAUUUCACAGGUGGCUGUUGAUGGCAUGUCAUACCACAGGUCUUGUUUCAAAUGUAGCCACGGCGGCUGUGUGAUUAGUCCAUCAAAUUAUGUGGCUCAUGAUCAUAAGUUGUACUGUAGGCACCAUCACACCCAGCUCUUCAAGCAAAGAGGCAACUUCAGCCACAUGGAAGACCAAGAGAAGAUUAAAGGGGUGAUUUCAAAUGGAAAAGUAUAGAGUUCUGCAAUGAAAGUUUUCGUGUUCGUGUGAUUUUUCAAUACAACAUUGAGAGUCAGUUUUCUGGCCUUAAUCUCGAGAGGUUAAUACAUAUACAGGAGCGUUAUUAUCAAAUGGCUAUAUGUGAUAUUUUCAUGAGAGUGUCAACAGAGUUUCACUUCUUUUCUUUUUCUGUUGGUGUGUAAUUUACUUGCUAAAUAUGAUAGUUUUGCCUAAAGUAUGUAUAAUGGGAUUGCUCUUGUAGUUGUCCCGAAAUUGGUGUGGCUUUUAUCAGGGAAAAGUCUGUUUUCCUCGGUUCAUAAAUUCAUUUUUCAGUUUCCUUUGUGGCAAUUUCUUUUGACUACUUAGUCUUACACUCAAUUACUAUAUUCCAUGUUAUGCUUCUUUUGAAGGUACGAGAGAGAAAAGGGUUAGCCAUUAAACUGUGGUUGACCCUUGUCUAUAUUUUACUACUAGUAUUUUUAAGGUUAACAAGUAAUGAUCCAAUAAAGGCCAUUCGUGCUGGCACUCAAAAGUUGGAAUCAGCAAAGUCACUUAACUAGGUUGAUAACACUCAGAACGCCACUUAAUUAGAUUUUUUAAACUUUUAUUUACCAAAUACAUAUUUUACCCUCUAAAUUAUCUUUUGAGUGGUAUAAGCAUAAUUAAGUGACUUUUCUGUUACAAACAAAGGAGUGACCAUUUAAAUAAUGACUAUCUCAAUUAUUCGAAAUUACCUACUAAACGUUAAGUUAGGUUCAGUCAGUCACUCAACAGCAAUUGGGAUUACGCACAAUGCUGAAACCUAAGUUAGGUUCAGUCAGUUUCAAGUCCUUGUAAUUUGUCCAGUAAACUUCUAAAAACUAGUCUAAUUGAGUUUUUUAUGGAGUAAAAUAUUUGAAGACCCCAACUUAGUCGUAUUUGACAUCAUUGAGUUUUCUUAUGGAGUAAAAAAUAUAUUUUAAGACCCCAGCUUUGUAUUCGAGUUUCUUUUACCACUGCUCUACACGAGUUUUCACUUAUUCACUUCCCCACCCCACCCCCCAGGACAUAAAUUAGCGCAAAGGACUGAAUAUUAGUAUGACUGGAGCUGAGACGCCUGAUUGAUUUCCAGUUUCAUAUUCUUUGUGAAACUUCAAAUGCGCUUGUUUUCUUGGCGUAAAGCCAAGUACUUGACUGAUAUUAAGCCCAAAUGUCGAAUCUGUUAUUCUUCAACAACUACUUUUUCCGCCGUCCCCCAACACAAAAUUCCCAGCCAGAAUAUUCACAUAACUCGAAAAGAAUUAUCUAAAUUGCUACACCAACGCCCACCUAAAUCUCAACUAAAGCAAAUACAUGCCCAAAUACUCACACAAGCUCUCUCAUCACCUGCUUCUUUAGUUAAUUCUCUCAUUCACUGUUACCUCCACACUAAGGAGUUUACCUCAGCAAGAUUUUUGUUCUUUCACUAUCCUCUGCCUGCACCCCCAAUUCUAAUAUGGAAUUUGAUGAUCAGAGCCUACUCCAAACUCCAAAAUUCUUCAGAAAGUUUCAGUCUUUUUCGCCAACUCCUGUAUCUAGAUCACCUGAUUGGGGUUCAUCCAGACGAGUAUACCUUCACUUUCAUUGUUACAUCAUGUGCCAACCAAAGAUCAAUUGUACACGGAAAAAUUGUUCAUGGAUUGGUGGUGAGAAAUGGGCUUGAAUCAAACUUAUAUGUGGGAAAUUCAUUGAUUAAUAUGUAUGGGGUUUUCAAGAUUACAAAUGAUGCUUACAAAGUUUUUGAUAAAAUGACUGAAAGAGAUGUAUUCUCUUGGACUAGUUUGGUAUGUGGCUAUGCAAAUAAUGAUGAGAUGGAUCAAGCUUGUGAAAUCUUUCAUAAAAUGCCACUGCGGAAUGGUGUUUCUUGGGCUGUUAUCAUAUCGGGUUAUGCUGGAAACGGGAGGUACAGGGAGGUACUUGUCUGUUUAAAUAAGAUGUUUUGUGCGGUUGAGGAUAAGGUAAGGCCUAAUGAGGCUGUACUUGUUUGUGCUCUAUCUGCUUGUGCUAAUCUCGGGGCCUUAGAGCAGGGAAACUGGAUGCAUGCUUAUAUUUUGAGGAAUGAAAUUCCUAAUAGUUCAAAUAUUUCUACUGCUCUUAUUGACAUGUAUGCAAAAUGUGGGAGAAUAGACUGUGCAAGAUUGAUUUUCAAUAGAAUUCCAAGACCUGAUGUACACAAUUUUACAAGUAUGAUCUCAGGGUUAUCAUAUCACGGGCUUGGUGAGGAUUCCUUAAUUAUGUUUAACGUGAUGUUAGAUAAAAAUGUUAAGCCAAAUGAAGUAACUAUUAUAGGGGUGCUUAAUGCCUGUAGCCAUUCAGGUCUGGUAGAAGCAGGUUCUUCAAUCUUCUAUAACAUGGAGACCUUAUGGGGACUUAAGCCUCAUAUAGAACACUAUGGCUGUUAUGUUGAUUUACUUGGCCGUGCUGGAUACUUGGAAAAGGCACUUGAAGUUGUCCAGAGCAUGCAGAUAAAACCUGAUAUAGUCAUAUGGAGGGCUUUGCUCAGUGCCUGUAGAAUUCAUCGCAACAUUUUCCUUGGUAACUGCAUUAUAGAUUUUAUAAAGCAGCUUAACUCUGAUGGACCUAGCGGAAGUGAGGUACUGCUCUCUAAUCUGUAUGCAUCUCUAGGCAACUGGGAGAAAGUUUCUGAAGUGAGGAAAGCAAUGGGUCAGAGAAAUACCCAAUCAGACAUCGGAUGUAGUUGGAUCGAGGUGAAUGGUGUUAUUCACGAGUUUCGUGUUGCUGAUAAGUUACACCCAAAGAUUUUGGAAGUUCUGGACAAAUUAAACAAACUAUGGAUAGUGCUCUCCUAGAAGGCAUUGUUGCUAACACCAUGCAUGUGAUAUAAGUCCAUUGAAAGAGAGAACGAGGAAGUAGCAGCUUGGCUUGGUGAAUAGCUAGCCACGUUUGGUUCCAUGAAUAUGUUUUCUGGGACUUGAAUUGUCACAUUAUAAAGUUAAGAAUUCAUUGUGACUGCCAUCAGAUUUGAAGGCUAUUUCUGAAGUUUAUGACAUAGAGAUCCUUUUUUUAGGAUGCUUCUUAUUUUUGCACUUUCAGAAGAAGAAAUUUGCUACAAUGACUACUCGGAAUAAUGAGUUCUGGGAAAGAACACCUUUAUCUGUAUAGAAUGUUGAACAAACUGUUAGUAGCAGAUCAUAAGCUCUAAGGCUCUUCUGAUUUUAGAUUUUAACUUUAUAGGAUAAAGCUGAAGUUGGGGGUUCCUAUCUUCUUUAUAUCAAGGGUCAGGUUCCUAUCGUUUUUAAUGAUUUUGGAUCUACUUUACCACCCAACAGAAGGGUUCGCUUUUGAUAUGAGGCAUCAUGCAUAAGGUGCAUCAGAAAGUUAAAAUUCUUUAGACAUGAUGAGAGCCCCGGUUGAUCAAUUGAACAAGGGAUGGAAGGAUGUUACGGUGUUGGGAUUAUCUGCAGGUCUGCAUGAUGGUGGAAAUGGAGUGGCUGGAGCUCCUUCAGAUCAAUUAUAUUGGGAAGUCGUCCGACUGCUAAAUGAGUGCGCCAAAUUUUAUCUCUAACUUCCUGCAUCUCUGUUUUGCUAUAUUGAGCUAUGUCACAUAUGCCUUCUGUGUCACUUUUUGCAUUCCACUACAGAUUUGCUUUGGCUUCUUUCCAGGAAUUUUUGCUAGAUUCCGAGUUCAUUUUCAUUGUAAGUGUUCAAUGACAACGUAUGCAAUUUAUUUCUCCUAUGUUCUCUAUCUCUCAAUUUUACUCGCAGACUUGUUUCAUCUUUUGAAUUAUACUUUUAUCAGUUCGUUGAGGCAUAAGUUCUUGAAAUAUGGUCGUAAAGAUCUUCUGCAUCCAUUCUUCCAUGACCUUAUGCUCCUAAAUUACUUGGCUCAUUUUAAGCAAAUAUGCAUACCCUCUGAGGUAAGACUCUAACUCAAGUUUAACUUGAUUUCGAGAGGACAUUGGACAAGAAAUGUAGAUAUAUACUUGUGAGGUAAUAUACUUGUGAGGUACUUGCACUGGUUUACCAAAAUUAAUGGACCUUCACAAUAACAUUACCAUCAUACUCUGGUACCACUGAAAUUUUAGGUGGAGAAGUUAAAGACGUAAGAGAUGCAAAAUAUGGUUGGUGGGGUUAGUUACGAGUUUUCUUUACAUUUUAAAUUGGGAAGCUACAAAUCAAAUGAAGGUCCUACAAUGUAUAUGAUCUUGCCACAUUUUUUGUUUGGACCACAGCUACAUUAAUGCCAUGAUCUUAAUUUGAUUCGUCCAAGUUCCUGUGGUCCGAAACCAGUGGGAGAGUUGUCUAAAUUUCUCUCCAGAUGGUAGUGCUCUACCUUUUUACUUUACCAAAGCAUCUGAAAGAUAAAAAAGUUGAAGAAAAACCGAAUCAAACUAAAAAUAAGAAAAUCCACCUAUGAUGUAAGAAUCAAUAUGUACUUUGAUUUUGAUUCAGUACUCAGAUAACUCCAGUAUAAUCCCAUGAGUGGGGUUGGGGAGGGUAAGCUAACGGGGGUUGGGUUGGAUAUGAGACGGGUCAAAAAGAUAAUGCAUAAAUUAAUAAAAUUAUCCAACUCGGCCCAUAUUUAAUACGAUUGAAAAAUUGGUUAACCUGGCUUCCUGAAUAUGAUCACUUUGGGAGAAUCAUAGUCUCUCAAAUUUGAGUAACUCCGAAUUUGAGGCUUUACAAAAUAUAAAAAUUAAACCCUUUAGUUAUUCAUUGGUUAUCCAUUUUCUAAGUGGAUAAUAUUGAUUCUUAUCCAUAUAUGACCCAUUUUUAAACAAUUCAUUAUUCAACCCAUUUGUUAAAGGAUAAUAUGGGUGGAUAAUUAUUUUCUUUUGCCACAGUUAACGCAGACUAAUCCCUACCUUGAAGAUUGUAAAAUUGUUUUUGAUGGACCCUCAAGAUGAAAAGAAAGUAUUAACAACAAGCAGAAUAACAAUAUAAUAUGAAAACGAACUGAAAGAAACAGUAUUCAAAAGUAUCAAAUUAAAUUGAAAGAAAAUUCAAACAAACUUUGUUUCUACACUCGAAGUAUCAUUUUUCGACUUCAACCUUAAAAACUUCUUUUUUUGCGUUUCAACUAAAUAUCUGUUCAAAUGCUUCAUCUGGCAUAAAAAAUAAAAAAUAAAAAAAAUUAGGGGGGGCUAGUACGUUAGGCUGGUAGCAGGGAAAAUCUAAAAGAAAAAAGAAGGAUCUAAUUGGCUUUGGUAGGGAAACUAGAAGAAGGGCCGGGUAUGAUGCACGCUUGUUCCAGUGCAACAAAAGAAGACUGAACUGAUUGCUUUAAGUCAGAAAAUGAAGGAAGCAUUAUUAUUACAAAUAUUCUUAAAAACUUUGCUUCAUCACUUGUUGUCCCAUAUUGAUCAUUACAAAUACCUGUCACAAAAAAUGCUUUUAUUAUAGAUGCCAAGUCUUAUAAUGAUUAAGCAGAUUACUUUUUCAUCUUGAAUUAGAAUCUGGGGUAUAUAUGUGGCUCCUUCAAUAUAAAAGGAAUUGGCCUGAGAUUUCAUUCCAGCUGUGCUCAUUAUCCAUUAAUUGUCACAACAUUAGAUUAUUAGUGGAUCCUAAAAUAAUCUUAGUGAGAUGCUCUGCCUGUCGAUUUUUAGGUAAAAGCAACGUUUUUUUCUUAAAACUAUUGAAGCUAUUAUUUGUUAAGAGUGUGAUUAUUAAGUUUGUGGAAAUGGGCCUCACCACGGGAAGAUGGGGUUGUUCUUAUCGUUUUGUUUAAUGUGUCAAAUACGUGAAUGUAUCAUAACAUCUGAUGCUCAUUCUUUGAAAAGAAAUCAUAAGUCGUGUGAAGGAAUUAUCCAAAUCUAUAAUUCUGGGAACUAGUCCUUCAUAUCUUUGAGCAACAUUCUAAAAGCAUUAAAGUAACAGAGGAAUUGGAUUAUCCAAAAUCAAUGAGUUAUCCCGUUAAGAGAAUUGAUUCAUAUUUGGAAUAUCCCAAAAAUUGUGUAUCCUUCUUUAUUGUCAGUUUGAGUAACUAAAACUAUAUAUGGAACAUAUAAAAAGUAGCACAUUAAUAAUGUCAUCGCUUAAUUCAUAUCAGGCAUCAGCCUAUAUAUGUAUUGUUGAUUCGCCGAAAAGCAUUAUCCAGCUCAAACCAAUAUUCUUUGUUCCAAAGAGUUAAGAUCAAUUGAAGCUCCUAAACUGAAUAAAACUAAACCUUCAAUUAUUUGACAAACCACUAUUUACAUCAAGUUUAACUUUUGUAGAAUGAUAAUGUAAAAGUUAAUUAUCAUGUUACCUUUACAGUUUUAGAGAUAAUUAACUGUCUAUAAUCAAUGGUGUCAAUAAUCCAAAAAAUAAAGCAAAUAACAAUUUACACGUUAAAUUGCACUAACCGAUAGCACUCACUUGAUGAGUCAUUUUAAUUGUUUCGCACUCCAUUGACCUUUUCUUUGUUAUCAAAUCUUUCAUAAAUUUUGCAUAUCUUGGCAUUUGCUCAAGUGCCUCAACCAAAGGGACAUUGAUUGUGAGGCUCUUCAUCAUGUCAAUGAACUUUUUGACGAUUUAUUUACAAAUUCGGUAAAUAUAAAAUAAAUUCUAAUGCUUUUGAGUUGUUCCAACAAAAAAGAAAAUGAAUUAGAAAAAAGAAAGAUAUAGGAAAAAAGAAAAGCUAAAAGAGAAAUCGGACGCUAAUUAAAAGUGUGAUAAUUCAACUCAGAAAUCAUUGUUACAGCUUCAUUAUCAAACUAUUACUAGGUGAUUUAUCCCAUGAAAAGCUAUAGAAGAAUGGCAUAUAAGAACCAUUCUUAGUAGGGUGCCACAUCCUAGGGCUUGAUUAACCUAGGUAGGAACUAGGAAUGAUUAGAUAGCAUUUCAUGGGGUAUGUGUUUGUUUCUGAUGAAUGAUGGAUUUAUUGACGUUUGACUAGCUAGGUCCACCGUCACUAUUUUUUGGUGGGAUGGAUUUAAUUUCUCUAACCUAAUCAAAAUUUCGAAUUCGAGUAAAAAAAUAUAAAAAAUAAAAAGUUGAAAUAAAGAACGCUACCUUUUAAUCGAUUUUAUACUGAAUUAUGAUCAAUCAGGACUCUAAUAUAAAUAUUGAACAUUGAAUGAGAAAUAAAAAAAAUAUUAGCUAGCUAGGUUAUUAAGGAUGGUGAGGCCUCAUUUUUAUUUGGCAAAUCAAAGGUAUUUGAAAUAUAUGAAGCUAAGCAUAUCCUACCAAAUAAUAAUGCACGCAUGCAUAUGACGCUUAUUGGCUUGCUUUCGCGUUUGUUUCCUUUUGUCAUUUGAGGUGUUUUUUCAUUCUCAAAUAUCUUUACUUUUUCCAUUUGCUCUCUUUGUUCCGUCUCUCUCAUUUCCUCUCCACUGGCUUUUCCAUCUGUGCUCCCUUUUUGCUACAAAAGUUAAGUUGGAUUUAAAAGCUUUGGCGCACUCAUCAUCAUUACUUAAAACUAUGUAUAUCACUUGAUCAUUGCAAGGAGAAACUAUUCAUUUUAUGAUUGUUUGGUAAAUUUUGGAAUAUCUUUUUCCCUUUUUUUAUUUUAUCUGGGCUUUAUAUAUAAGCUGGUAAGCUCAUAAAAGGCGGAGAAUCGACUACUAUAUCUAGUUGAUUUGAAUUUCACCCCAAGGAAAAAUCACUAUAAUAUUCCUAGUAAUAUACAGGAAAAUUUAAAAUGGCAGGGUUCCAAAUUUAAAUGAAAUAUUAUCACUUUUAGCCCAUAAUAGAAACUUUUAACAAUUAUUCUGUAUCAUCAAAGAAAAUUCCAAUGAAAAAUAGGUGAACGUCAUUGGUCUGAAAUUUUCGAAAAAAUGUCCAAUUUUUGACUAUAGGUUAGAAUUAACUCACAUUGAACCCCAAUAUUAAGGGUUAAGGCAAAAGAGGUUUCCUUAAGGGUGCGAGAGGAUAAUAUUAUACUAGAAAUAUAAUCGAUUUCAAAUAGAAAAUGAACAAAUUUGACCUUUUUACUAAUAAAGGAUAUAACUUGACAAAUUCAUCUGUCUAAUUCUUUGUAUUUCACAUCUAAAGAUUAUAGUAUUACAAUUACUAAUAAAAUAUUUAAAGUAGUCAUUUUCAUUUUCAUUUAACAUCUAUUCUCUACGGCCAAUAGGUUGAAACUUUGAAAAAGGACUUCACUAAUUUUGGGCAAGUGUUACUCAAACGCAAAUCAUAAUUUCGUUCAACGUUGGAAGUCUAUUAGAGAGUCCAAACAAGUAACAAAAUUUGGUGAUUCCAACAAAGCCUACAAUUCUUUUCAAUAAAAGAAGGCAUCCAAAUGAUUACAAAGGUAAGCCAUGUGAGUUUUUUUGGGGGUUUCUUUCUCAUAUCUGCUGUACAUGUGAUUAAUUCUGCAUAGCUAGACUUGCUAGCUAGCUCUAAUUUUAUGACGAAAAACUACCCAUCUUCUCUCUUUUUUUCGUCUAUUUUUCUGGUGGAAAUAUGGUUUCUCCUCCUCCUAGUCCAGAAUCUCAUACACAAAUCCAAAUAAAAGCAUCAAAGUCUCAGCUUGUAGCCUCAGAUAUGCUGUGAAGUUUGGGAUGCCAUGUUUUGGGUUUUGCACCUGUUGAGCUCCGAUGCUUUUCUUGUUUCACCUGAAAAUGUGUACAAACUAUUGUCAAUUUAUAUACUGAUAUUAAAUCAAAAAUGGUAGUAGUGUAUAACUAUAGAAUUCCAAGCUAUUGUCAAUUUAUAACGUUAAUUUUUUUUCUUCUAUUUUAUUAUCCUUUCAAAAGAUGAAAGAGAAACAAGUAAUUUUGAAACUCGAAAAGAAACAAACAAAAAAAUAUCACCUUUAUCCUAUCUUCUCCAGUUAUAUUCUGUAUGAGUAUGACUGAGAUAACUUUGUACACAAACGUUCCUUUCCUUCUUAUUUUUACUUUUUUUUUUUUUAGUUCUUCAUAGUUAGCCAUGGGAAAAUAUGAGAACCUGCAUAGGCAUGAAGUUUGAAAAAAGGAAAAUCACCUGUUUGGAGUUGUCCAUUUCAGAUCUUCUUUGUCCAUUCUUGGACUGUGAAGUUGAAAAUUUCUCAAGAGUUGACUUCUCUUGUUUCUUCCCGGAGUCUAGCUGCUGCUUCUUGGCAUACUUCUUCGCCCAUAACCCUUUCAUCACCUCUGCAUAAGCAAUAAACAAAGAUUAUAAACUCAAUAAUUUAAAGGAAUCAAAAGUAUUUCAGCACUUAAUUAACCAUAAAAGAAGCGAAGAACCAACCUUGAGUAGUAAUUAAUCUGUAAACAUGACCCAAAACAAGUGUAUCCGUUGGCUUGAGAAGCUUAAUCCGCGUUACACGAACUGGCAUAUUACCAGUAUUUUUGCCUACACUGUUACUUCUGUUGGCGGUGGCGGUGGCGGUGGCGGUGGCGGCGGUGGAGGCAGGGUUAGUGGGCGGACACAAGGUGGUGGUGG